rnacentral:rRNA from 1 species
CCUANGGGUGGCAGCAGUGGGGAAUUUUGCGCAAUGGGCGAAAGCCUGACGCAGCAACGCCGCGUGGAGGAUGAAGGUCUUCGGAUUGUAAACUCCUGUCAGUGGGGAAAAAGGGGAACGGGCUCAUACCUCGUUUCAUUGAUUGUACCCGCAGAGGAAACCCCGGCUAACUCUGUGCCAGCAGCCGCGGUAAUACAGAGGGGGUAAGCGUUAUUCGGAAUUAUUGGGCGUAAAGGGCGCGUAGGCGGUCGUUCAAGUGGUAGGUGAAAUCCCUCGGCUUAACCGAGGAGCUGCCCGCCAAACUGAACGACUUGAGUCCGGGAGAGGUGAGUGGAAUUCCCAGUGUAGCGGUGAAAUGCGUAGAUAUUGGGAGGAACACCAGUGGAGAAGGCGGCUCACUGGACCGGCACUGACGCUGAGGCGCGAAAGCGUGGGGAGCAAACAGGAUUAGAUACCCUANUANUC